rnacentral:misc_RNA from 1 species
AACCUUAUGGACCUGCGGGCGUAUACCUGCGGAAGGAUCAUUACCGAGUGUGGUCCCUUUUUUAAAAGGGGCGCCUCCCGUCCUUUGCAGGGCCUUUAGGGGCUUUUUGACUUUGCUUCGGCGGGCUCGCCCCGCCGGAACACCCUCAAGAAAAUCUCGAAAAAAACCUUUGUCUGAGUUGCUUGCGAAUAAAACAAAACUUUUAACAAUGGAUCUCAGAUCGGGAGAGCACACGUCUGA